rnacentral:tRNA from 1 species
GGCCGAGUGGCAGAGUGGUCAUGCAGCGGAUUGCAAAUCCGCGUACGUCGGUUCGAUUCCGGCCUCGGCCUCCA